AAGUAUUAUACAGCGAAACUGCGAAUGGCUCAUUAAAACAGUUAUAGUUUAUUUGGUAAUGUUUUUACAUGGAUAACCGUGGUAAAUCUAGAGCUAAUACAUGCUGCANAACCUGACUUCGUGGAAGGGUUGUAUUUAUUAGGUAUAAACCAAUACGCCGCAUGGCGUUUUGUGAUGAUUCAUAAUAACUGAGCGAAUCGUCUGCUUGUCAGACGAUAAACCAUUCAAGUUUCUGCCCUAUCAGCUUUCGAUGGUAGUGUAUUGGACUACCAUGGCUAUCACGGGUAACGGGGAAUUAGGGUUCGAUUCCGGAGAGGGAGCCUGAGAAACGGCUACCACAUCUAAGGAAGGCAGCAGGCGCGUAAAUUACCCAAUCCUGACUCAGGGAGGUAGUGACAAGAAAUAACAAACCGGGGCACUUUGUGCUUACGGGAUUGCAAUGAGUACAAUUUAAAACACUUAACGAGGAACAAUUGG
rnacentral:rRNA from 1 species